GAGUUUGAUCAUGGCUCAGAUUGAACGCUGGCGGCAUGCUUUACACAUGCAAGUCGAACGGUAACAGGGAGCUUGCUCCGCUGACGAGUGGCGAACGGGUGAGUAAUGCGUCGGAACGUGCCGAGUAGUGGGGGAUAACGCAUCGAAAGGUGUGCUAAUACCGCAUACGAACUGAGGUUGAAAGUGGGGGACCUUCGGGCCUCACGCUAUUCGAGCGGCCGACGUCUGAUUAGCUAGUAGGUGAGGUAAAGGCUCACCUAGGCGACGAUCAGUAGCGGGUCUGAGAGGAUGAUCCGCCACACUGGGACUGAGACACGGCCCAGACUCCUACGGGAGGCAGCAGUGGGGAAUUUUGGACAAUGGGCGCAAGCCUGAUCCAGCCAUGCCGCGUGUCUGAAGAAGGCCUUCGGGUUGUAAAGGACUUUUGUCUGGGAGCAAAUACCCG
rnacentral:rRNA from 1 species